GGCAGCACGGACUUCGGUCUGGUGGCGAGUGGCGAACGGGUGAGUAAUAUAUCGGAACGUAUCCAUAAUGGGGGAUAACUAAUCGAAAGGUUGGCUAAUACCGCAUACGCCCUACGGGGGAAAGCUAGGGAUCUUCGGACCUGGCGUUAAUGGAGCGGCCGAUAUCUGAUUAGCUAGUUGGUGGGGUAAAGGCCCACCAAGGCGACGAUCAGUAGCUGGUCUGAGAGGACGACCAGCCACACUGGAACUGAGACACGGUCCAGACUCCUACGGGAGGCAGCAGUGGGGAAUUUUGGACAAUGGGCGCAAGCCUGAUCCAGCCAUUCCGCGUGAGUGAAGAAGGCCUUCGGGUUGUAAAGCUCUUUCGCAAGGGAAGAAGACUUAUCCUCUAACAUAGGAUGAGGUUGACGGUACCUUGAUAAGAAGCACCGGCUAACUCUGUG
rnacentral:rRNA from 1 species